rnacentral:rRNA from 1 species
CUUGGUCAUUUAGAGGAAGUAAAAGUCCUAAGGGGUUCCCGCCUGUGAACCUGCGGAACGAUCAUUCAUAAUAAGUGUUUUAUGGCACUUUUUUAAAUCCAUAUCCACUUGAGUGCCUUGUCCGGGUUGGUUUCUCUCUUUUGACAUAUCAUCCCCAAACAUCAUCUCCAUCUUAACUCUUUGUCUGAAAAAUAUUAUGAAUAAAACAAUUCGAAAUUCAACUUUCAACAACGGAUCUCUUGGCUCUCGCAUCGAUGAAGAACGCAGCGAAAUGCGAUACGUAAUGUGAAUUGAAUAAUUCAGUGAAUCCUCCAAUCUUUGAACCCAUAUUGCGCUCUUUGGUAUUCCAAACAACAUGCUUGUUUGAGUAUCAUUAAACACCUCGUAGCCUUUUUUCUCUUUUGAAAAAAGGGUUUGGACUUGAGCAAUCCGAACACCCAUCUUAUAUAGACAGGGGGCGAGUUGCUUGAAAUGCCUGAGCGUCUGGACAUUCUCCUGAGCUAAAAGUGUAUUCAAUUAGUCCCGUCCAACGGAUGAUUACUUUUGCUGCAUCCACAAUGAAGGGAGUUUGACCUUUUUGGCUGACUGAUGCAGGAUUUUCACAAGAAUCUUCAUAACCCCUUGUCAUACUCUAUCUCACCUCGAGUCACACUACCCGCUGACCUCAAGCAUAUCAAUAAGCGGAGGA